AGAGUUUGAUCAUGGCUCGAGAGCGAACGCUGGCGGCAGGCCUAACACAUGCAAGUCGAACGAACUCUUCGGAGUUAGUGGCGGACGGGUGAGUAACACGUGGAACGUGCCUUAGGUUCGGAAUAACUCAGGGAAACUUGUGCUAAUACCGAAUGUGCCCUUCGGGGGAAAGAUUUAUCGCCUUUAGAGCGGCCCGCGUCUGAUUAGCUAGUUGGUGAGGUAAAGGCUCACCAAGGCUACGAUCAGUAGCUGGUCUGAGAGGAUGACCAGCCACAUUGGGACUGAGACACGGCCCAAACUCCUACGGGAGGCAGCAGUGGGGAAUCUUGCGCAAUGGCGAAAGCCUGACGCAGCCAUGCCGCGUGGAUGAUGAAGGUCUUAGGAUUGUAAAAUCCUUUCACCGGUGAAGAUAAUGACUGUAGCCGGAGAAGAAGCCCCGGCUAACUUCGUG
rnacentral:rRNA from 1 species